CUUAGGCAAAAGCUUUCUUUUAAUUGUUUUUUUGUUGUUGUUUAUUUACUUGUUUAGAUCCUGCUGCCUAUUCAUGUACCUGGCACACAACUGUUGUUCAACAAAUACUUGCAGAAUCACAGGAUUAAUAGCAGAUGCACUGCAGUCCUCCUGGCUCCUGCACUUGCCACAGGAGAAUGGCAGUACUUUGGAGGUUGCCCAUCUCCUGUGGGCUCCAGAAACCUCAGGUCUGUGAGAGUUUUGGCAAGUGGAAGGUGGAUGGCAGUGAUGUGUGUCAUUUCCAGGCCUGGCAACCUAAAUACCUCCUCUGUGCAUUCCACGGUGGCUCAUUCUUGCCUUGUUGGCCAGCCAGAUGCAGAAGAUCCAGCAUAGAGUUCCAAAGCCUCCAGGAUUCCAAGGCAUCUAGGAGAUAGAGGAGCAACUAAAUGCAGGGUGCCUGGGCCCCUGGAGGACUGCAUGGAGCAGAACAACUCUUCCUCAUCCCCCCUUUCUGCUGAUUCCGUGUGGUCUGUGAUGUGAGCAAGAAAAAGACCUUUGCUGUAUUAAGCCACUGAGGCUGGCGGCUGGGGUGGGUGGGGGGUUAUUUGUGAAAGCACUAAGCCUGCUCAAACUCAACAACCUUCUAGCCUGUGUCAUCCCCAGGUUAU
rnacentral:lncRNA from 10 species